rnacentral:lncRNA from 1 species
CCUGCCUUUGCCUCCCAAAGUCCUGGGAUCGCAGUCAUGAGCCACUGCAUCUGGCCAGGGUGAGAAUAUUUUUGGAGAGCUUUGAAAGCAGAUAGAAAAGACAGAGGAUGGAAUUAUUAGACCAAGAGAGACUAAGGAGUGGAGGUAGAAGAGAUGCAAGAAAACACAUGGACGUCUCCUAUGGGGAAGAGGUGAUAGGCAACUCCAGGGCCUCCACCCAGAGCUCCUGCUGAUUUCAAUGAAGUGGAUGUUUUAUGGAAGACUCUAGCCAUGCUCGGAUCCUGCUUGAAGUGCCUGCCAGCUGGAGAGGACAGGGACAAGGGCGUAACUUGCAGGCAUCCCCCUUCCUCUGCUGACUGCUCUCCAGCUAUGGGCAGUGAUGGCCAUUGACCGUGCCAUCUCCAGGACGGGGAUCAAUCUGGUCAAUCGACCAAAUGUCCUGGCUUAGAGGAUACGGUGCAGUGGGGAUGGUCACCUUCCUGUGCAGUGGUUUAAUGCUUGUUCUCCUUCUCAUCCAGAAUCAGCCAGGUGUCCUGGAGGGCCUGAGAGGGACCAGGGUGAUGAUGGGAUCCGGAGAAGAAAGUCAGAUUGGAGCAUGUGUUCCUGAUGUGGCCCCGUUACACUCCCUCAGGUGUAUCCAACCACAGAGAGUGUCCUUCUGCAGCAGCUACCACCAGAGUCUCUACAGCCACAUCUCUCAGAGCCGCAGUCACUUCAUUGAUAAACUUCAGGGGGCUGAACUGGAUACUCUUUUCAGAUGAAGCAGUGCAUAAGCAUUUAUGAUGGGUGAAGCUGAUGUGUUGCAAUGAAUAUCUCAUGCAGGCACUUUGGAUCCAACUCAACUCAUCACACAUUUAUGGUGCCAGAUGCCAAUUUGGAGAAGAAAGGGUCUUGUUCUCAUGAAGCUCACAAUGUCAUAGAAAAACAGAUAGGUAAACAACCAUACACCGAUGGAAAGCACUUGAUCAAGGACCUCCUGGUAGGAGGGUUGAUGGUAAUUAAC